UUAAAUUGAAGAGUUUGAUCAUGGCUCAGAUUGAACGCUGGCGGCAGGCCUAACACAUGCAAGUCGAGCGGUAGCACAGGAGAGCUUGCUCUCCGGGUGA
rnacentral:rRNA from 1 species